rnacentral:rRNA from 1 species
UACGAAGGGGGGCUAGCGUUGCUCGGAAUCACUGGGCGUAAAGCGCACGUAGGCGGAUUGCUAAGUCAGGGGUGAAAUCCUGGAGCUCAACUCCAGAACUGCCUUUGAUACUGGCGGUCUCGAGUCCGGGAGAGGUGAGUGGAACUGCGAGUGUAGAGGUGAAAUUCGUAGAUAUUCGCAAGAACACCAGUGGCGAAGGCGGCUCACUGGCCCGGUACUGACGCUGAGGUGCGAAAGCGUGGGGAGCAAACAGG